GAAUCAGCACGUCGGUCGUGCCUUCGGUAUGUACUGGCGUUGCUGGUUUCUCCCUUCUGAUGAGCCGUGAUGCCAUUAAUUUGGUGUUAUGAGGAGUCAGGACUGUUACUUUGAAAAAAUUAGAGUGUUUAAAGCAGGCAAUCGCUUGAAUACAUUAGCAUGGAAUAAUAGAAUAGGACUUUGGUUCUAUUUUGUUGGUUUCUAGGACCGAAGUA
rnacentral:rRNA from 1 species